AAUAUGGUUAUUAUUAAAUUUUUAUGUUUAUUAUUUUUAAUAAAAAUAAUUUUAAAAAUAAAAUUUUUAGUAAGUUUUAUAGAAAAAAUUAUUAUAAUUAUAGAGAAUUAGUAUUGUAAAAGAAAUAUUAAAUAGGUUUUUAUUAUUAAUAAGUAAAAUUUUAUUUUUGUACCUUGUGUAUCAGGGUUUAUUAAUUAAAAAUUAUAAAAUUUAAUUUUCCCGAAUUUAAAAGAGAGAAUAAAUAAUUUUUUUUAUUGUUAAAAAAAUAUUUAAAAUUAUUUAUUAGUAAUGAGAAGUUAUUCGUUUUUAAAUAUAUCUGGUUUAUAUAGAAAUAAAUUUAAUUUAAUUAAUUUAAUUUUAUUAAUUUAUUUUUAUAAGUUAAUAAAUUUUAUUAGUAAUAGUUAAAGGGAUAAGCUUUUAAUUAAAAUUUUAUAAUUUUUUAAUUUAUUGAGAAAUUUAUAGGUUUAGAAAUAUUCAUUAUUUAUAGUAUGUUAUAAUUAAUUUCGUUUAUUAUAUUUUUUUAAAAUUUUUUAGAAUUUUAUAUAUAAAUUAUAUUUAAUUAUUUAAUAUUAAAUAUAAUGAUAAAAUUAGUAUAAUUAUUUUAUAUAUUAAUAUUAUAAAUUUAAAGAUUAUAAAAAGGAAUUCGGCAAUUUUUUUAUUCGCCUGUUUAAUAAAAACAUGUCCUUUAGAAUAUAAUUUAAGGUCUAACCUGCCCAUUGAUAAAUUAAAAGGCCGCAGUAAUUUGACUGUGCAAAGGUAGCAUAAUCAUUAGUUUUUUAAUUAAAAGCUUGUAUGAAUGGUUGGACGAGAUAAAAUCUGUCUCUUAAUAAAAAAUAGAAUUUAAUUUUUAAGUUAAAAAGCUUAAAUUUUAAUAAAAGACGAGAAGACCCUAUAGAUCUUUAUAAAAAUUUUUUUAAUAUUAAUAUAGAUGAUUUUAUUUAUUAUAUUAAUUUUUAUUUUAUUGGGGUAAUAAAAAGAUUAAAAAAAUUCUUUUUUAUUUUACAAAAAUUAUUGAUUUUAUGAUCCAUUAUUAGUGAUUUAAGAUUAAGUUACCUUAGGGAUAACAGCGUAAUUUUUUUAAAGAGUUCUUAUCGAUAAAAAAGUUUGCGACCUCGAUGUUGGAUUAAAAGUAAUCUUAGGUGUAGAAGUUUAAGAUUUUGGUCUGUUCGACCAUUAAAUUUUUACAUGAUCUGAGUUUAGACCGGUGUAAGCCAGGUUGGUUUCUAUCUUUAUUGAUUUAAUAUAUUUUAGUACGAAAGGACCAAAUAUGUAAUAUAUUUAUAUUAAUUUUUUGAAUAUUAUU
rnacentral:rRNA from 1 species